UAAAAAGUGUUCUCGCUGUGGCUGGGCGUUUGCGCUCACUCACCUUUUGUUGCCUGCGUGCCAUAUCCGUGGGUUGUUUGGCAUUGAAAGGGAGACUUUUCGGCUUGUGCUUGGUCCGCAGGUGGUCGUUUCUUAUGUUUACCUCCUUGACCCAAGGAAGUCGGGGGGUCUUUUGGAACUUGAGUGUCCUCGUUAAUUUCUCCCCCCGAGUCUUCGCUGGAGGAUGGGUCUAACAUGUUUACCAACACAGCAGCUUCUCCCUUGGUGAGCAGGAUGCAGUUCCAGGGACUCCACUCCCACUGGCAAUCCCACCUCACCAUUACCAAGUCAUGCAUGUCGCUCCACGCACUGAGGGCCGACUGGGCCCCCCACACUACAUCUACCAGUCUUGCGGAGCCUCCUGAGGAUGGUCUUGUAGUGGGAGAAGUCCUCGCGGCGGCGAGCCUCGUUGUCCAGCUCCGAACAACUGCGACACUUGCCUACCAGGCGAGCAUUGGCCGUAA